CUAAUAUUAUCAGUGCUCCAAUUGAGCUUGGAGGUGAAAUUAAUUAAAUGUACUCUGCCCAAACUGCUGGGACAGGGGAGUGUAAUUUGCGCUUUGCACAUCAGCACAUGUUCCAAAAAAAAAAACUACAGGAACAAUUCGCUUCAGUAUUUGUGAAAAGCUCCCAUACUAUUGUGUAACUUCUGCAAUCAAAACUUGAUGCUGUCAAUGGUUCUUGACUAUGAAAAUUGAAAUUACAUUUUAAUUUAGUACUUCCUAAGCCACACAGCGUGAUUUUGGACACACUAAACUUGACUGCACUUUCUGCAAUGGUGUAAACUGUGCGUCAGUGUGUUAACCUCCGACGGUUCUAAAUGUACCCGUUUGGCAAUGUGUGGUUACACAACAAAGUGAGAACCUGGGUUUAACUGUAAACCGGAACCCUUCACAGAAACAGGCAACAUUUCAAAGCCAAUGGUGUUUUGAUGCACAAAUAUAACAUUCAGAGAUUUGGCAGUUGCUGGUCAACUGCUGCAAUAUUGAAAGACAAAGAUACAUUCACUGUAUAUCUAGACAUGGUUCUCAUUCAGAUUACACACUCUCUUACGGCAUGUGACUGUUAGGAUUUGAAUUCCGCCUUACAUGCACCAUUGGUGUUUUUCCUUUUGCAUAUUUAUUACCUGGUAUAAAUAUUUGUAUUUACCAAGAACAUGCUGCUAUGGUAAAAAUAUAUUGUAUUGAAGCAUUUACAGCCCAGUGUACUAAAUGUUGCUAGAGUUCUAAGAAGGUCUGCUCACGGAAACACCAGCAGUCCCUUUCACUUAUAGCUCAGUUAUAGCACCGUUUAGAGCACUGAGCCCUAUGACCUGUCUGUGCCUGCAAUGCAUUCUCAUACACUGACAGACAUAUGCAAGGAUGUCGCCCACAUUUUACAAAGUCAAAUUAUAUAUAGCUAAUAUAUUUACAUGUGGCUUCUGUUUCUAGAAUGAGC